GGUGAGAUGGCCGAGCGGUUAAGGCGCCAGACUAAGGUCCACAUGGCUUGGCCAUGACGUAAUCUGGUCCGAAAGGGCGUGGGUUCGAAUCCCACUCUCAUCA